UGGAAAUACAUACACCCACAUUAUUUUCAAUAUUUUGUGCAACUUACAUAAUCCCAAGGAAUUUAAGUGAUGUAAAUUUUAGAAGGAUAACUUUGUCUUAACUGUUAAAACGCAAUCAGCAAACUUCCAGCGACCAUUUUUAUGCAUUCAGAUGAAAAAUUAGGAGCAUGCUAGGAAACUCUUGAUAAGGAGGAUUAUACAUACCCUUCUUGGUAAGAUCUUGGAAACUGCCUGGAUUUAAGGCCAGUAACUACCGAGUGAAUUAUUCUCCAGGUAAAAACACCCCAGGUAAAGAGCAGGUGACAAUAUUAGCUUUGUCUCGAAGAGUGAUUUAAGCUGCCUUCUUGUUAAGCCAGGCUUGUAAUUUAGAGGAGCCCGGUGCUCGACUACGCGCGGGUAAUCCUGCCUUCCCAGCUUUGUGCCUCUGCGCACGCGCUUUGGCGCCAACUUCGCCACUAGGGGGCGCCGGGCCCUCUUCAGGCCGGCCUUGGGGCGGUGCGUGUGGGUGUGACGUCACUGCGCGCGCCGCAACUUGUUGCCGGGCAGCGAUGGCGGCUACCCUGGAGUCCUCGGUGGAGGACCCACUGCGGAACUUCGUUCGAGUUUUGGAAAAGCGAGAUGGCACGGUGUUACGACUGCAGCAGAAUGGUUCCGGCGGCGUGGGCUGCGUUGUUUGGGACGCUGCCAUUGUCCUUUCUAAGUACUUGGAAACGCCCGGGUUUUCCGGCGAUGGGGCCCACGCUCUGAGCCGGCGAUCUGUGCUGGAGCUGGGCUCUGGCACUGGGGCCGUGGGGCUCAUGGCUGCUACCCUUGGGGCUGAUGUUGUGGUCACAGAUCUUGAGGAAUUGCAAGACUUGCUGAAGAUUAAUAUUAAUAUGAACAAGCAUCUUGUCACUGGUUCUGUUCAAGCCAAGGUACUGAAAUGGGGGGAAGAAAUAGAAGACUUUACUUCUCCGCCAGACUACAUACUGAUGGCUGACUGCAUAUACUAUGAAGAGUCUUUGGAGCCAUUGUUGAAAACUCUAAAAGAUCUUAGUGGAUUUGAGACUUGUAUUAUAUGUUGUUACGAACAACGAACAAUGGGAAAAAAUCCAGAAAUUGAGAAAAAAUAUUUUGAGUAUAUCUCUUUUAAAUUUAUAGCUCCUCCAGCUAGACUUUGACUUUGAAAAAAUUCCUUUGGAGAAACAUGAUGAAGAAUAUCGAAGUGAGGAUAUUCAUAUCUUAUACAUCAGAAAGAAAAAAUCGAAAUCUCCAUCGUGAAAUCUUUAGUCAUCUUACCCAAACCUCUAACAACCUGGGUAAGCUAAAGAUGUGAAUGGUGAAUGGAGCAUGUGAAUACAGCAUGGGAAGAUUGUGUUCAUAGAUUUUUCCAGCAUGUCCAUAGAGAUUCGAUAUAUAACUGACAACCACCAUGGGCUGCCUGCAAUUUGAAAAAUGAUUACUUACUGCCUGCCUGCCAAUGAGCCUGAAAUCCAACUUAGUUUACUUGUAGCUCAGCAUCAAGUUCUGCUUAAAAGAAAAUUGUGUAUCAGUCACUCCUCAAAUGAAAAUAGGUGUUGAGGUUUGCCUAAAGUCUGCAGGAAAUAGUGAAGUGGCAUGGUUGACUUGGCAUUUUUGUCAGGAAACUAGAAAUAAAUUGAUCCAGUUUCUAAAGAGAGACAUCUAUUACAUCUAUUUAAGUUGCAACUAGUAAAAUUUAGUUGUCUUCAAGAUCAAUAAAUCUAAAAGUUGGUUUUUAUUUUAAUAUAAUUUAAUAUAAUUAUGCAGUGGUUUUUAUCAUAUGUAUCUUCCACUUCAUUGCUAUUAUUAUGAUAGCUUUAAUAUUUAAAUGUUCUUUUACUUAAAAAAAAAUCUGAAAAUACUGUUUUGUAUACUUCCAUUAGCCAAAGUUUUAUUCUUUUCCUCCACCGUACAUGUCUAUGUGAGUUAGAUAGUAAAUUAUACUUCAGUGAGUUGGUAGGAAUAAAAGUAAGAAAUCAGGAGGGGGAAAAGGUAUCUUUACAAACUUUUUCAUUUGAGAAUGGAGCAAGAAUUAAAAGUCCAGUUUCAGGCUUGUGCACUUACUUGGCUCUUGCACUUUUCUUCGCAUAUAUCUUCCAGGAAUAUGGCUAAAAUCACCAUUGUUGUUUACAUGAAACAGAGAAAUGUUUUUAAAUAACUACAAAUGUGGUUCUAUAUACAUUUACCAAGUGAUUUUGGUUCUGUGUAUUCUCUGUUUUAUGUUAUUAUGAUAAUCAUCUGCCCACAGACUGAUCUAUCAAGGACUUCAGUUACACCAGUUGUGAAGAGUAAUAUUAACUGGAUAGAAUUCUGGUACUUGUAGGCAUUGGUGCUAGGUGGCACAUUUAAUGUAUUAAAAUAAACAUUGUUUUAGAGAUCCUGUGAUUUUGUGAAUGUUUCAGAAAUAGCUUUGAAGAAAAUGAACAUCUAAAUCGGGCUUUCCAGAAAAAGCAAAAGCAGCCCUAUUUAGAGAAAUUAAAGAUCCAAAUCAAAAGAACCAUUCUUUCCUUCAGGCUUCCUUUGGUCUUUAAAGUUUGUCUUGCUGUUCUUUCUCAGAAUACGUUGUUCACACUGCCAUUAGCAUUUCAUUAAGCAGUUUACUAAACAGUGUAAACUGUAUGAUUCUUAGUUACAGAUAGCACCAGUUAUUAUUAGUGAAGUCUUGGCACAGAUGACUACUUUCUAGCCUAUUCCAUAACAUUAUGCAACUUAAAAAAAUAAUAAAAGUCUGGCCAGCUAUAGUAAUCCACUCAUUCUCAGAUCCCUGUUCACCCCUCUCUUUUCACUCUACUUCUAAUAGUCAGUACCUCUGGGUCUUCAGCCUAAAGUGUCUCUUGGCAUUCCUGUAGAAAAGCCCAGCUCCUUUCCCUUACAUAAAGUGCACCUUAUACUCCAAAAUUUUCUGGAGGAGUUGGGUUGAGGUCAACCUCUACAGCUUUACCAGAAUCACCCCUGUGUGUGCUUCCUUCCCUUCCUUGUUCUAUUCCCAGUCCCUUACUUAAUUUAUCACCUCCUUAAUACGUCACUUGCAUACAUUCAUCUCCAUCUGUUCUGGAGAACUGACCUAAGUUACUGACUGUAGAUUUAAGUAAUUUGUAACAUUAAAUCAUGGGUUGUUUUUGUUUUUUUUUUUCCUGUUCUGGAAUAAGGCCAAAGCAGAGAUUAAAAGGUACCAAGUCUCCACAUUGUAAGAUCAGAGAACCACUGGUAGGACCAUUGAGCACUGCGGGGCUUACUGAGGGCUGACAGUUCAAGUAACAUGCCCUAUCACGAACCACCAUUCCGCAGACAGCCAGGGAGGCCUGGGAGGGGUCUCUUUUGAGGAGUGCAGUGUUGGGGAAUGGGAUUUAGUCUUUUGGGCUCUCUCAUGAGGGAGAGAACAGGGUGCAUCUGUGCUCAGACACCACAGGAGGGAGGCGUGAGGGAACAGUUCAAGAUUAAGGAUGCUUCUAGGAAGGGGUGCCCAGCGUUUUCUCCACCUGGUUGGAUUUACCCAGCAGAUCAGCAUGUCUGUGUUUUUAUUUCAGAGCAUGGGAAUGAAAUUGGAGAGGUGGGGAUACCUCAGGCAGAGGUGUUAAAGAUGGGUCCUGCCAGCCAGUGUUGGCACAGGAGUUGGAGGCCAGAGGACUUGUGCAGCAACAUGGAGAAGUUCAAAGGGAGGUGCAGUAGAUGAGUGAGGUGUGCUGCCAAGGACAGGAUCAACCAGAAUACAGCCACCUGCAAUCUCCAGGGACUGCCAGGGCUGGGGGCGGGUGGGGAGACAGCUCAGGAAUGCACCUCUGGGCCUCUAGGUGAGUGGGGCCUUGCCACUGUGCACCAUGAAACCCAUGGGCAGUUAUAGCCAAUUAGGGAGCCCCUGUUGUAAGGCAUUGUUUCUCAAACUAGGCUGCACAUGGAAUCACCUGGAAAAUUAAAAGCAAACAAAAGCUAUGUUUAGGUCCCAGUUCAAUUAAGAGGCAUGGGAGUUUUGUUAAAGGCUCCAGGUGGUUUGAGUGUUUAGCCUAAACUGAGAACUGCUGUGUUAAGGAAACCUAGCAUCUAUUUCCCAAGGGAAAGGGAGCAAAGGGAGGAGAAAUAAUAAGCCAUCUAUGAUUAGAGUGGGCCUAUACUGCAUAGGGAGGGAAAGAGCUUUGAAUCCGAUGUGGAAUCCUCUACGAAAUACAUUUUAAAACAAACAGGACUGAGCUUUAGAAAUUGAUUAUUUACCUGAAAAUUUAGAGAACCUGGUCAAGAAGACAAAAGUGAUGCUACUCAAGAGGAAAGGGGAGUCCAAUAGCUGGAACAAUGAAAUUGUUACAGGCUAGUCUCCAAUGACUUGAGUCUCUCCUGUAUACCAGUUAUAACUAAAGGUCUUUGAGAUUGCAGAACUUGGAAUCUCAAUCAGUAGAGUUCAUAACCAAGGGUUUGUGAAUCACGUUUCGUGGACUUGGGAGUGAGUUAGGUUAUUUUUAGGUAUUUUAAGCAGUAUUAAUCCAGAAUGAUAGUGGGGUUUUUUACACAGCUACCUUUUUCUUGAAAGUUUCCUUGUUAAUAUGAUGCCAAAUGCAAUAUUAACUCAGACUAUAACUACUGUAUUAAGUUUUUUAAAAGUGUGGGUUAUAGAAAUAGGACUGUUGUUCUAAAGUUUCCCUGUAGAUGGCAUUGCUUGACUUUGUCUUUAAACAUUUUAUAAAAAGGAAGUUGUUAAAAUAAGAUUAUUUUGAAAUGGAAUCACACUUGCAUUUUAAAGGUAAACUAAACCAGAUUUUAAAGAAUCAAACUACUUCUUGGGAGUUGCUUUUGAGUAUAGCAGGGUUGUCUUAGCGUGUUUGGGCUGCUAGAACAAAAUACAGACUGGGUGGCUUAUAAACAACAGAAACUUAUUUCUCACGGUUCUGGAGGCCGGAAAGUGCAAGCGAGAUCAAGGCCCCAACUUCCUCAGAGGCCCCUGCCUUUUCAUUGUAACCUCAAGUGGCAGAAGAGUGAAGGAUCUCCCUGGGGUCUCUUUUAUAGGGCGCUUAUCUCAUUUAUGAGAGCUUCACCCUCAUGACGUACUCAUCUCUCAGAUGCCCACCUCCGAACACUACCACAUGGGGGGAAUAGGUUUCAGCAUAAGAUUUUGGGGCUGGGUUGUGGGUGGAACACACAAACAUUCAGACCAUAAUAAUAGUGGAGGUAAAGCUGAAUUUUUUUCUUAUAAAAUUGUAUUUGACUUGUCUUUCUGUACAUUGCAUUCUGAUAUGCUUUUUGAAUUUCUGAAUAUUGUUGAUAAAGCUACAGAAAUUAUAAUUUAUAGACCAUUUCUCUAUUGUCUAAUUCAUAGACCAUCUUCUGUGAGAGAUAUUUAAGAGGCUGAAUUAGUUGGUCAGGUUCUGAAAAUGAAAUUGACCUUGAAAGUAACUUUUAUAUAAUGCAUGAUUUUAUGUUUGAGGUACUUGGAACUUCUAAUUAAUUUUAAUUAGUUUUUCAAACCAGUGUACCUUCCUCACUAGAGUAAUAAGUAGCUUUUACAUCAAAAGACUGAAGCUCUGUCUUUGGCUAUAUAUACCACAGUCCUGUAGGCUUAGGCCAUCUGUUUGACUUUUUGUCUU